rnacentral:rRNA from 1 species
CAAUAGCGUAUAUUAAAGUUGUUGCGGUCAAAAAGCUCGUAGUUGGAUUUCUGUUGAGAGCGACCGGUCCAUACCAUGUAUGCGUAUCUGGCUUGCUCUCGGCAUCCUCUCGAUAGACGUUACUGCGCUUGAUUGCGUGGUGCGGAUCUCGGGACUUUUACUUUGAGGAAAUUAGAGUGUUCACGGCAGGCUUUCGCCGGAAUACAUUAGCAUGGAAUAAUACUAUAGGAUCUUGGUUCUAUUUUGUUGGUUUCUAGAAUUGAGAUAAUGAUUAAUAGGGACAAUUGGGGGCAUUCGUAUCAACACGUCAGAGGUGGAAUUCUUGGAUUGUGUUGCGACGAACUACUGCGAAAGCAUUUGCCAAGGAUGUUUUCAUUGA